GAUGAACGCUGGCGGCGUGCCUAAUACAUGCAAGUCGAGCGAACGGACGAGAAGCUUGCUUCUCUGAUGUUAGCGGCGGACGGGUGAGUAACACGUGGAUAACCUACCUAUAAGACUGGGAUAACUUCGGGAAACCGGAGCUAAUACCGGAUAAUAUUUUGAACCGCAUGGUUCAAAAGUGAAAGACGGUCUUGCUGUCACUUAUAGAUGGAUCCGCGCUGCAUUAGCUAGUUGGUAAGGUAACGGCUUACCAAGGCAACGAUGCAUAGCCGACCUGAGAGGGUGAUGGGCCACACUGGAACUGAGACACGGUCCAGACUCCUACGGGAGGCAGCAGUCGGGAAUCUUCCGCAAUGGGCGAAAGCCUGACGGAGCAACGCCGCGUGAGUGAUGAAGGUCUUCGGAUCGUAAAACUCUGUUAUUAGGGAAGAACAUAUGUGUAAGUAACUGUGCACAUCUUGACGGUACCUAAUCAGAAAGCCACGGCUAACUACGUG
rnacentral:rRNA from 1 species